UACGUAGGCAGCGAGCGUUGUUCGGAAUUACUGGGCGUAAAGCGUGCGUAGGCGGUCGGCUAAGUUUGGUGUGAAAUCUCCCGGCUCAACCGGGAGGGUGCGCCGAAAACUGGCCGGCUAGAGUGCGGGAGAGGGAAGUGGAAUUCCUGGUGUAGCGGUGAAAUGCGUAGAUAUCAGGAGGAACACCGGUGGUGAAGACGGCUUCCUGGACCGUGACUGACGCUGAGGCACGAAAGCGUGGGGAGCAAACAGG
rnacentral:rRNA from 1 species